rnacentral:rRNA from 2 species
ANNGCGNCNUANCAUGCAGUCGAGCGGACAGAUGGGAGCUUGCUCCCUGAAGUCAGCGGCGGACGGGUGAGUAACACGUGGGCAACCUGCCUGUAAGACUGGGAUAACUCCGGGAAACCGGGGCUAAUACCGGAUAAUUCUUUCCCUCACAUGAGGGAAAGCUGAAAGAUGGUUUCGGCUAUCACUUACAGAUGGGCCCGCGGCGCAUUAGCUAGUUGGUGAGGUAACGGCUCACCAAGGCAACGAUGCGUAGCCGACCUGAGAGGGUGAUCGGCCACACUGGGACUGAGACACGGCCCAGACUCCUACGGNAGGGCAGCAGA